AUCUUUAAACAUGGGCUUUCCACAAGUCAGUAAAGAACCAUUGUCUUUAGACAAAAGAAAUAUUUUUGCUUCAAUAAAUUUGAAUAGUUUCCUAGGGCUAAAUUCUCUCCUAAGACAUUUGGAUACAGUUUCCAUUCUAGAGAGGGGAGUUGCUGGUAUAUGUGCAAAAGCUUAAUUUUACUUAUUUUUUUACCCUCAUGGGGUACAAUUUCAUUGCCAUUGAUUCCAUGAUAUUAAAACAUUUUAUGGUGGCGUAGUUGCAUUUUUUGGUACCUGAAGACAGACAGCUCCUUGCCAGACCUGCUUUCAAAAGCAAGAUGAGAAGGAAGUGCCUAGUUUAAUUCUUUUUCCUGAAUAAGCAUGACUCCAAAAACAUUAACUCAUGAGAUUUCUUUCUUAUAAUCCCUGUCUCCUUUUUCCACGACAGUUUACUUAGACCAGACAAUUUCACUCAAAAGCUUUACAAAGUGGAAAACAGUAAACAUGACAACAGAAGACUAGAGGUGGUCUACCAGCAAGUUUGUCUUAAGUGAACUGAGAGACCUGUACCACCACCCUUUGGCAGCAGUCACUUCACAGCAUGGAUCCUUCUUGUUUAUUUCAAACCACAACUAAUUAAAAGUAGACUUACUACUCAGUUCUUGUGAACA